rnacentral:tRNA from 1 species
GGGGUUGUGGCUCAGUGGUAGAGCACCUGCCUGGCAUGUAUGAGGCACUGGGUUCGCUCCUCAGCACCACA